rfam:Desulfovibrio africanus str. Walvis Bay, complete genome.
GGGCAAUUAGCUCAGUUGGAUAGAGCGUUGGCCUCCGGAGCCAAAGGCCGCAGGUUCGAAUCCUGCAUUGCCCA